CCAGACUCCUACGGGAGGCAGCAGUGGGGAAUAUUGCACAAUGGGGGAAACCCUGAUGCAGCAACGCCGCGUGAGUGAGGAAGUAUUUCGGUAUGUAAAGCUCUAUCAGCAGGGAAUAGAAAAGAAGGUACCUGAAAAAGAAGCCCCGGCUAACUACGUGCCAGCAGCCGCGGUAAUACGUAGGGGGCAAGCGUUAUCCGGAUUUACUGGGUGUAAAGGGAGCGUAGACGGCUAUGCAAGUCUGGAGUGAAAGGCGGGGGCCCAACCCCCGGACUGCUCUGGAAACUGUAGAGCUAGAGUGCAGGAGAGGUAAGUGGAAUUCCUAGUGUAGCGGUGAAAUGCGUAGAUAUUAGGAGGAACACCAGUGGCGAAGGCGGCUUACUGGACUGUAACUGACGUUGAGGCUCGAAAGCGUGGGGAGCAAACAGGAUUAGAUACCCGAGUACG
rnacentral:rRNA from 1 species